rnacentral:lncRNA from 1 species
AGUCUUCAGUUCACAGAGAACUGCCCCCCAACUGCUCCCCCGUACUCUGCUCCUACAGGCCCAGCUGCUGUGGCUGUGCGACCUGCAGGGACUGGCAGACCCGUAGCUAAGACGCCAGGAUUUCCUGGAAGCAGAGAAAUGUCGUCUUCUAGGUUUGUGGACCCGAGUCCCUCCUGGCCCAGCUCGGCCACAAAUGUCGGCUGGACUGGAAGCUGGGACCCCGGGCUCCAGUCCCCUGCCUGUGUGGCGACACCGGCUCCCCAGUCUGGAGCCCUCCCUGUGCCACUCGGCUCCCACAGCCACGCGUCUUCCCCAGCGUGUGCGGGGAUGAUUGGAGCGUCAUCACGGGAGAAUCUCGACUCGACCUGGUCACCUGUCUGGAGCAAAGGAAAAAGCCAUGGAGUAUGAAGCAUCCAGGUAGGUGAAAGCGAAUGAAGAAGAGGAUGACAUAGAUGAGAGAUCCAAAGGCCAAGGAGGAACCCAGACUUUUACAUGUGAUUUGGGAAGCUGUGCUUCAGUGGAAAUCGUUUCUGAGAAGCCUGGGUUUUUUCACUUG